CGCCGCGACCUUCGUACCCGGCGGCGAGGCCUGCCCCUGGGGGGGCGGUGCGGGACUCGGGAGGAGGUUGGAUCGGAGGGUUUGGGGCGGGGGGUGCGAGGGGGGUCGUCAGGAAACUAUCCUGGGCUGGUAGGUGCAGCUUGGCUCCCUUCUAGAUAGGGCAGAAACAUCGCCCGGCUCCCCCUUCCAUACACCUCACACCCCACUUUUUGCCCCCCUCAUAAAGCCCUUACCUACCCUUUAUAUUCAAAACAGAUGCCAGAAUAUAAAAACAGCUCCGUGAGGACUGAGUGCUUUAAGGGAAGUUGUGGGAUGCUGGCUUCUGCCAGCUGCUAGAGCCAUCUAGCCCCACCACCUUCCCCAAACGUGUGCAGUGUGGCUCAUGCAGUCUGAUUUAUUCUCAAAAAGUCAGCUCGCUAAAUGCUUCCAGAUCGGGUUGAAAUGUUAAAGUAGUUAAGCUGUGUUUGAAGAAGCAAAACUGCUAUUGGAGAACUUGUAGAAAAAAGGUAAUCAUAAUGGAUACAAUAACUUGACCUGCAAAGUCUAGGUGUGAUCAGUAUGUGGUCUUGCUGCGUAACAUGUCUUGGGAUUGUGUUUGUCCUCUGGCCUGUUACAUAGGCAUAGCAGAUUGUGCUUCUGAACCUUUGGUGGUCUUCUUUUUAACACAACCUUCAUUUGUUCAUUGUUGGAGCUUGUACUCUACCAGUUAAAAAAAAAAAAGUGCAGAUGGCAGCAAUGCAAAAUGUGCUUGUUCAGCCAUGGGGACGUAUGAAUUAAUGACUUAUGUUGGCAUUUGUCUUUGGGAUUUCUUGUGAUCUAGUCAGCAUCCUAACAAACAUCAGACAGCUCUAGUCCAUGCUAGUUUAUUAAACAAUUUUGUAAUUAAGUUAAUUGAAUGCAAUUUUCUUCUUGAUUUUAUUAUAAGUCCUUAAGUAAGUCCUUAAGCACUGUGGUCAGGGAUUUGUGGAUUUACUUUUUUUAACCUUCUUGAACUCCUGACAUAUGGAUCUGCUGCUGGAUAAAUUUUCUUAUUGAUAGCACGGCAAGAGCUGUAGCAGAGGCAACCCUCAAGCGGAGUUUGAAGACCUUAACUAGAUCUUAACUUCAACUAUUGAGAAGCAGUCACAACUCCAUGUAAUGUACUUCUGAGGGAUGUGCUAUCUCACACAACAAUGUGUUUACACUGCAGCCUGUUUAAAAAAAAAAAAAAGAACAAAACAAAAACAUUCACAAGGACAGUGGUGAACUCCAGGAACUUAUGCCCCUGCAAACAGGUAUUAGUGUGUAGUCCUGUUAAUUGUAGUUACAUUGAAUACUGAGUGAGUAUGGGGGAAAUGGCAGAAUGUUGCCAGGCUCACUAGGUCUCACAGAGCACCACUUCAUAGUGCUGUGGUCAGGCUGGACUGCUGGCCUGUCCCAUUUGACCACUUACCAUAUAAGUAGCUGUUCUGUCAAGCUUCCUGGGCGCAUGAAAAUUAAUCUCGUUUUCCCUUGAAAGGGGAAGCAUAAUCACCACUUCAGAAGACAAGAUAUUAUAAAGUAAUAUAAAGCUGUUGUCUAGGUAUUAGUAUCUUGGUCUCUUGUGGGAUCCCCUUCUCUGUGAUAAAUCAGUUACAGCAAUUCACUUGCAGGGUUCUUUCAUCAGGAGUGGAUGUGUUUGGGUUGAAGUGUCUGCCUUUUGGACCCUGUGUGUCAGUGUAAAGAUCCCAUGACAGCUUGUCAGGUAGUUUCUUAUUGAGAAGAGCAUUCAAAGGCAAGUGUUUUUGUGUGUUAACAAUAAUGAAAAUAUUACUCAAGUUUGAUGUAGGCUGCCUAGUCUCAAACAGCUUCAGUUUUGAGCUCUGUCACUUUUAUGUGAACUUGAAUGAAUGAUGCCUCUCCACCUCUGGGAGAGGCUCAUAUUCCUCUCUAGGAAUGAAGGAACUUAAUUGCAUUUGGUGGUUUGUCCAUAAACCAUAAGAGCUCAUAACAUUUAAUGUUCUCUCAGGGACUGAAUAUGAAUUUGCUUGAAAAUAUCAUUAGGGAAAGAAUUGUUUCCUCCUUUCUCUAUUUAGCACCACAGACCAAAUGAGUUGGUGACUGUUGAUACUUCUUAACAGUUUCAACAGUCAUUGCUGUAGAUUUUGUUCUGCAAUCACCGUCUUUAGGCUUCAAGAUACUGUAAGAUAGCAUUGAGAAAGGUGUAAUGUAUUUGGAGAGGUAUCUAUAUUGCUUGUAUUUGCAAUUUUGUGGUUAUAGUAUGUGAUUGUGAAUUUCAUGGUAGAAAAAUCUAUUUUGCCUUUUAUAAGGGAAUGCUGUGCCUACUGGAAAGUUUGGCACAUUGUUACUGCACGUAGAUGUGUGCAGCAUUACUGCCUGGAAGUGUGAUCUAGGAUCAGCCUAUUAAAUAUAUUGGAAGUGACUCUAAUUAUUUUCGCUGUGACAGCAGCCUAGAACUAACAAGGAAAUAAGCCCUCUCCCUGACCCAUUUGUCUUUAUCUAUUUCUCAAGCCUGUGUGUGAGAUAGAAAACGUAUUUUUUCCUCAGUUUCUUGCAUCACUAACUUAAAAUCCAACAACCAAACCAAAGCAACCACUUUUUAGAAGAUUGUUUUUAUACUCUUCUGGAUGAGAGAUAGGUGAAAGGGAAGUUACGUUCUUCAGUUUUAACGAUUGCUGCGAGCUCACUUGAAGUAGCAGUGAAGAAGCAGAAUACUCAGUGUCUAAAAGGGAUAUCAAAAGUAGCUUGUAAGUACUACUUUUAUAUGUAUAGUCAUACUGAAGUUGAUUUCUUCUGCAUGCAGGACGUUGCCCAAAGUGUAGCCAAAUACAAGGACUUCAGGAGGGGCUAAUCCAUGAGAUUGCUGAUACGGCUGAAGCUCUCACCACCAGCCCAGACUCUGAAAACGUCUGGGAAGUUGGUUACCCUGUUGUCAGCACCUUGCAGAACCACAGAGGCUUGGACAUGUUCUGUGGUUAUCUCAAGUCCAGAAGCAAACACUGAGGAAUGUGGGAUAUUUAUUCCUAAUUUUUUUUAAGUGUGAUGUUAACUUCAUGAGCUUUAAGAUGCAGUACUGUGUUGGGGUUGGAUGGACUCUGAAGCCAGUAGAGAACUCAUUGUUCGUGGUUGAAGAAAGCAUGAUAGUGAUAAUGGCAUUUAGGCUUUGUCUGGAGGAAGCCAGGUACAAAAAAACAUAUUUGGUUUGGAAAUCUGGUAUGUAUCUAGCUUUGCUUACUGAGAUUAAGUAAUUCAGACUGAAUUACAUGAACACCAAGACUGGAGAGCUGAAAAGAGAAUAUUUGACCAUUGGUUCUGUUCCAGUUAGUGUGCUUGUCUUGGCAUGUGAUAGGAUGUUGAUACAGAACCAUCUCAUCUUCAGCUGGCAGUAUGCACAGUCAGCAUGCUGACUCGGCAUCUUAAUCACAAGUUCUAGGGAGCUUAAAACAGAUGGGAAGUUUGUUUUAGUAUUUUUAAUGCUUCUGACUCGUGUACUCUCUGAAAGCACUUUCUGCAGCACCAAUUAGCUGCUGUUUCCAAGCAGAAGAAAGCAGUCCUAAGACAAACA